UACGUAGGAUGCAAGCGUUGUCCGGAUUUACUGGGUGUAAAGGGUGCGCAGGCGGGCUUGUAAGUCAGAGGUGAAAGCCCGGAGCUUAACUCCGGAACUGCCUUUGAUACUGCAGGUCUUGAAUUCGAGAGAGGCUCAUGGAAUAUGUGGUGUAGCGGUGAAAUGCGUAGAUAUCACAUAGAACACCAGUGGCGAAGGCGGUGAGCUGGCUCGAUAUUGACGCUCAGGCACGAAAGUGUGGGUAGCAAACAGG
rnacentral:rRNA from 1 species